AAAAUUUACGUAGUUCACUAAUUUAAAUGUCCAUGCUUAGCUGGCUCCUCCACACUCUCCCUAGGGGUUGUAAUUGCCUCUUUUUUUUUUUGAUGUAUUGAGUAGCUGCCUGCUUACCCUUCGUGCUUCUCUCUGCCCGGCUAUGUUGGGAGGAUGGAUAUCGCCCUCCUGAUUGAGUCGACUAGGUAGCGUAGUGGUCUCGUCUAAGCAUCUCUCGAUCAUAUUUCUGAGGGGAUAUCUCAGACAAUGAGUUAUGUGAUGACCAGCUCCCUAGUAACCCCUGUGAUUGUGGUUAAUUAAAUGGAACAAUGUGUGAAAUAUUGCGAUCUGCCCAUUGCCCACAAGCCAUCCGAUCAUAGAAUCAUCCUCAUCGUAUAUGAAAGUAUUAUGCAUCGGAUUUGUGUACUUUAACUCUACUUUUUCUUGAAUGCACUUCAGCCUCGAGCUCAGAUUGCAGUGAACAUAUACAAAGUCAUUGCUGCACUUCUAUGUCAAACAGUUCCUAUGCUUGUUGUGGAUGAGGAUGAAUGUGGACCAGUUGCACUCACAGUCACUCGAGGAAACCAUCUGGAAAAGGAUCCCACCCUACUGUUCGCAAAAUCGGAGCCCGACUCGUAGUAUGAGAGCCUAAAUCAAGCUCUAUGCCUGGCCACCUCAUCCUGCUGCCACUGAUCAUUCAGACUCACCUGAAUGGCAGACUGGAUUUGUGCCCCUUCAUUAUCUAGAGCGGAUGCCUCCUCUGGCUCUCUAGAGUGAUAAAAAGAUGGCUCUGCCGCUCGGUACUCUACUUCUGCCUUCUUCUUGAAAAUUCUCUUCUUCGCUGCUUUAAAAUUAGCAAAGUGCUUCUUCAUCAACUGCCGAACCUUCUAUGGAUAUUUUCGAGCAUAGAUACGUCAGGUUAACCACCAGCUAAGUAUUGCUUCAAUCUUGUUAUCGCUCCUUCCUUGAACUCUGUGUUGCACAAGUUGUAUUUUUAAUGAUGCCGAUCCAAGAGCAUUUGCCUAUGAUUCCAACCGAUGUCACACUUUGACUCUUUUUUCUUGAUGGUUUCAUUUAUGUCGAUGCAUCAAGUACAUUAGUUUAUCAAUUAUUUAAAAAUAGUAAAAUUUUAUUACAAUGAAUAUAAUAUUUUUUACUUCAAAAAUACAUUUGAUUUAUCUAAUACAA
rnacentral:lncRNA from 1 species